GCAGUGUAGCGUAGUGGUAAAGUGCAACGCUCGCAACCCUAAGGUUGCUGGUUCAAUUCUCUGCUGGGGCACUGCA